rnacentral:tRNA from 1 species
GCCCGGCUGGCUCAGUCAGUAGAGAGUGUGACUCUUGGUCUUAGGGUCGUGGGUUCAAGCCCCACAUUGGGCG